GUGUGUGUGUGUGUGUGUGACAAGGUGUGUGUGUGUGUGUGUGUGACAAGGUGUGUGUGUUUGUGUGUGACAAGGUGUGUGUGUGUGCAUGACAAGGUGUGUGUGUUUGUGUGUGACAAGGUGUGUGUGUGUG